rnacentral:snRNA from 1 species
GGAUGUGAGGGUGAUCUGGCUGCGACAUCUGUCACCCCAUUGAUCGCCAGGCUAGAUUCGGUUGAUCUGGCUGGCUAGAAGGGUAUCCCCUUCCUCCCUCACCGCUCCAUGUGCGUCCCUCCCGAAGCUGCGUGCUCGGUGGAAGAGGAUGACGUUCCAGGUAUAGAAGGAGUGUACCGAGGUCUCCAGUCUUCGGUCCCAAGUAUACAAUAGCUGUGCUCCCCUGCUAGAACCUCCAAACAAGCUCUAUCCCUCAAUACAGAGAACUAUGAAAAUACACCAUCUUAAAUGAAAUGGGCAUACAACUGUAGAUAAACUCUUAGCAAGUACAGAGUU